rnacentral:rRNA from 1 species
AUUGAACGCUGGCGGCAGGCUUAACACAUGCAAGUCGAGCGGAGCGAGGGUGCUUGCACCUUAGCUUAGCGGCGGACGGGUGAGUAAUGCUUAGGAAUCUGCCUAUUAGUGGGGGACAACAUUCCGACAGGAAUGCUAAUACCGCAUACGCCCUACGGGGGAAAGCAGGGGAUCUUCGGACCUUGCGCUAAUAGAUGAGGCUAAGUCGGAUUAGCUAGUUGGUGGGGUAAAGGCCUACCAAGGCGACGAUCUGUAGCGGGUCUGAGAGGAUGAUCCGCCACACUGGGACUGAGACACGGCCCAGACUCCUACGGGAGGCAGCAGUGGGGAAUAUUGGACAAUGGGCGGAAGCCUGAUCCAGCCAUGCCGCGUGUGUGAAGAAGGCCUUUUGGUUGUAAAGCACUUUAAGCGAGGAGGAGGCUACUUAGAUUAAUACUCUGGGAUAGUGGACGUUACUCGCAGAAUAAGCACCGGCUAACUCUGUGCCAGCAGCCGCCGUAAGAC